ensembl:snoRNA U3 Small nucleolar RNA U3
AAGACUAUACUUUCAGGGAUCAUUUCUUUAGUUGUUGACUUGAGAAAUGUGUUUCUAAAGAGUUGGUCUCGCUGCCCACGAUGAAGAGUGAAGAUGUUUCCUUCAGAGCAGGAAUCUGGUGGAAAGACUCUGUUUCUUCUCCACUGUUGAUGAUUGUUCAGUGUUUCUGAAUGAGACACUGAUGGAGGAAACAUGUUCUGAGUGGU